rnacentral:rRNA from 1 species
GACGAACGCUGGCGGCGUGCUUAACACAUGCAAGUCGAGCGGAAAGGCUCCUUCGGGGGUACUCGAGCGGCGAACGGGUGAGUAACACGUGAGUAAUCUGCCCUGCGCUCUGGGAUAGCCACCGGAAACGGUGAUUAAUACCGGAUAUGACCGCUACACGCAUGUGUUGGUGGGGGAAAGUUUUUCGGCGCAGGAUGUGCUCGCGGCCUAUCAGCUUGUUGUUGAGGUAAGGGCUCACCACGGCUUUGACGGGUAGCCGGACUGAGAGGGUGACCGGUCAAACUGGGACUGAGACACGGCCCAGACUCCUACGGGAGGCAGCAGUGGGGAACAUUGGACAAUGGGCGGAAGCCUGAUCCAGCAACGCCGCGUGAGGGAUGACGGCCUUCGGGUUGUAAACCUCUUUCAGCACCGACGAAGCGAAAGUGACGGUAGGUACAGAAGAAGGACCGGCCAACUACGUGCCAGCCGCCGCCGUAACAC